rnacentral:rRNA from 1 species
GACGAACGCUGGCGGCGUGCUUAACACAUGCCAGUCGAACGGAAAGGCUCCAGCUUGCUGGAGUACUCGAGUGGCGAACGGGUGAGUAACACGUGGGUAAUCUGCCCUGCACUCUGGGAUAAGCCUGGGAAACUGGGUCUAAUACUGGAUAUGACCUUUCUCCUUAUGGGGUUUGGUGGAAAGUUUUUCGGUGUAGGAUGGGCCCGCGGCCUAUCAGCUUGUUGGUGGGGUGAUGGCCUACCACGGCGACGGCGGGUAGCCGGCCUGAGAGGGUGAUCGGCCACAUUGGGACUGAGAUACGGCCCAGACUCCUACGGGAGGCAGCAGUGGGGAAUAUUGCACAAUGGGCGGAAGCCUGAUGCAGCGACGCCGCGUGAGGGAUGACGGCCUUCGGGUUGUAAACCUCUUUCAGCAGGGACGAAGCGUAAGUGACGGUACCUGCAGAAGAAGCACCGGCUAACUACGUG